UACGUAGGAGGCGAGCGUUUGUCCGGAAUUACUGGGCGUAAAGCGCACGUAGGCGGCUUUGUAAGUUAGAGGUGAAAGCCCAGGGCUUAACCCUGGAAUUGCCUUUAAGACUGCAUCGCUAGAAUCGUGGAGAGGUGAGUGGAAUUCCGAGUGUAGAGGUGAAAUUCGUAGAUAUUCGGAAGAACACCAGUGGCGAAGGCGACUCACUGGACACGUAUUGACGCUGAGGUGCGAAAGCGUGGGGAGCAAACAGG
rnacentral:rRNA from 1 species